AUGUAAAGCAAUAGCUGAUUGCAUUUAAAUGUAGUUACUACUUGGUMGUUUAAAAUUCUAGGUAGAAUUAUGAUGAUGACAUUAUCUAUCUAUUAGUCUUGACCAAAUUACGUGCCAGCUGUCGCGGUAAUACGUAGAAGACAAGUGUUAUUCAUCUUUAUUAGGUUUAAAGAGUACCAAGACGGUUAAUAAAGCCCAAAAUAAAUGAAUACGGGGGACACAUUAACUAGAGUUAGAUGUAAAGAAGCUCUAAGGUACUGUUGAGUGUAGAGAUGAAAUUUUUUGAUACCAGAUGAUUGGCACAGAUUAAUGCGAAGGCGUCUUCUUAUGUAAUAACUGACGUUGUAGGACGAAGGCUUAGGUAGUGAACAGGAUUAGGUACCCCAGUAAUCUAGGCAGAAAAUGAUGAAUGUCAUAGGUUUAAUAUGUCUAUAAAUGAAAGUGUAAGCAUUCCACCUCAAGAGUAAUUUGGCAACAUUGGAACUGAAAUCAUUAGACCGUUUCUGAAACCAGUAGUGAAGUAUGUUGUUUAAUUAGAUGAUACACAAAAACCUUACCACAUUAUGAAUAUAUAUAAAUUAUAUUUACAAGCGCUGCACGGCUGUCUACAGUUAAUGUCGUGAGAUUUUGGUUAGCUCCAGUAAUUUACGUAAACCCUAAUUUUAUUUAUAAAUAUAAUUAUCAUCGCUAUAUUUGAUGUGUUAACAGGGAACA
rnacentral:rRNA from 1 species